rnacentral:rRNA from 1 species
AUACGUAGGUGGCGAGCGUUGUCCGGAAUUACUGGGUGUAAAGGGCGUGUAGGCGGGUUGGCAAGUCAGAUGUGAAACCCCUCGGCUUAACUGAGGGACUGCAUCUGAAACUGCUGAUCUUGAGUGCUGGAGAGGAAAGCGGAAUUCCCAGUGUAGCGGUGAAAUGCGUAGAGAUUGGGAGGAACACCAGUGGCGAAGGCGGCUUUCUGGACAGUAACUGACGCUGAGGCGCGAAAGCGUGGGGAGCAAACAGGAUUAGAUACCCUGGUAGUCCACGCCGUAAACGAUGGAUACUAGGUGUAGGAGGUAUCGACCCCUUCUGUGUCGGAGUUAACACAAUAAGUAUCCCACCUGGGGAGUACGGCCGCAAGGUUGAA